GGCUUCAGCCUAGCGCCGCUGUAUACACCCUCUGCUGCUCUGAUGAAUGGAAACCAGACACAAGCAAGUUAGUUUCGUUUUCCCUAGGCACAGCUCCUCGGUGUUUGGCGAGAUGACUGUAUGAGAUGGGUGUGAACAGGAGACCCCAGCGGGAGAACUGACAGCUUUUGCAAGAAAGGAGCAUGCAGCAGAGCUAUUUCAGAAUCACAGCCCUCCUCCACCCAGGCACCCUGGCAUCAACUGGAGCUGUGCUUGUUAAAAGGCAGGAUCUGGAUCUCCUGAGUGGUCCUUCCUGUUUCUGCAACUCAGGACCAAUGGGAGACUCAAUGCCUUGCACCUGGCAAGAACAGCAGAUUCCUCAGGAGUGUUUGCUUUGAAGAUGACCCUGGCGCAGGCUGAGACACAUGUCCUGGCUCCCCAGAUGCAGCAGCACCAUGCGUCACCGAGCAAGAUGUCCCUGCUGGAUGCCACCUUGGCUAACUCAGCCAUUUGACCACAAAGCCCAAGGGCUCGGAUAAACAUCACUAACAUCUGUGGAGAAACAUAAGCCACAGUAUGGUUAAUCUGUUACCAGGAAAACCAACCCUGGGCACACCAGCGGCAUCUGGGAAGGCAACGAAUUCGUAUAUCCCAAAGUCAUCCAGUGCAUCCUCGUGGCCUGGAAACGAAGCAAAUGACACUUACAAACCAAGUGCCUUUUGAUUUGCUGUUGCUAGUUCUAGAAACCUGUGGAAAGCUUUACUGUUUUAAA